UUUCAGUAUUGUCUGUAAAUAAACGUAUACUUUUUUGUAUUUAUUACCAUUUUACAAACAUUGUUUUUUAUUGCACUCUGCAGCAAUAAUGGGCGCGAUCCGAAAUAAAACACCCGUGAUUGGCAGAUAAAUUGAUUGAUUGGCUGUUUUAUAACAACGGUGCACAAUAUAAUCCUUUGUGGAUAUUGAUGAGGAUUUGUUUUUAAGCAGUUAUAAAGCCUUGUCUUUCAGGCAGAGCCUGUGCAUUGUAAAUACUUGAGAAAUUAGAGGCGAUGGGCAGCGCUUUAUUGUAAUACUCAGUAAUUAGUUCCUGCUUAUCGAAAUUGUUUUACCCUUUGGCACUUUCAGAAUUUUCACCCCAUUUAAAAACAUCUUUAUCGUGAAUCGGCACAAAGGCACGCGCCUUUCAACUGCAUGACAAUGCGGAUCAGGUGCAAAUUAGAGCAUUCGAGUUUCUUUUUGUUUAAUUGUUUUGCCCUGAAGCUUGAGUGGCGUAUAAAUAAGUCCUUAAAGGAAGAAUGAACAAUUAUUAUUCAAACAAGAAGGACACAAGGAGGAUAAAUGAUUGGGGAGGAGGGAACGCUAAUGCUGGAUGGAGCUGGAUUUGCGCUGCUCAGUAUGAUUUGACUGGGAGGAAACGUUCUGCUUCAAAGAAGGAAACCAUUGUGCGAGAUGGCCAUAACCACACGAACGCAACGGCUGGAACAACUUAUCUUAUGUGCGCUUCAACUGACCUUUACCCCACCCCCCGGUCUCACCUCCUGUCCCAUUGGCGCUUUGUCCACUCAGCCCUUCCUGGAUAGCAGCGGGCUCUGGCUCGGAAGAGAGGACAGCAGAAAGGCCGGUCUGCCAAGCCUGGUGGGCACACUGGGCAGCAGUGCCCGAGAGCCAGCAUUGUCACCGUGGCCUUGAGCGAAGGCUGAGGGAAUCUGGGCAGCCAUACCCCCACAGAGCCGCCACACACGGCACUACUCUGGCCAUGCACUCCCACGGAAAAGCCGUCGCACGCUGCGCCAACCGGAAAACCAGGAGAUGGGACACGAAGGGAUUACGUCCCCGCCCCGGUCUACUUCCACCUGUUCUCAUACUGUCGAAGAUAGAUCGAUCGAUACAGACGAAGACAAAUGUCUGCGACAGGUUCUUUUUAACACAAGGUGUGACGGUUCCUUAACUGUAAUAUCUAAAAAUGUCCUAGCUGGCGACAGCCCAAUAUUUUAUUGACUGUGCUUAUGAGGGAGUUACGGGGCACUUAUGUAGGGCCAUUCGUAUGAGGUAUUACCAAUAAUUAUUAAUCCCACUUAUCACACACACACGCGCGCACACUAGGAACUACUUAAAACGGGUGUGUGUGUUGAAAUAGUGCUAUAGCGAUGUAUCUGCUGUAAUGCGUCUGUGUCUGCAUUUCCCCAUUAGUCAGUGCAUCAUGUGGCGCUUUGACGCCGUUCAUUGUGCUAGCGCACAGCUCACGUUAAAGGACACAGUGGCGUCUCUUCCUGUUUUGACUGGGACAGUCCAGCUUUGUCCCUGACCUUUUCCGGACAUCGCCUCCCAUUUCUCUCUGACCCAGAACGUCGAAAUGCAUUACAGUCUGCCCUGUAUGUGUGUUUUGGUUUCCCGAAACAGAUUCCCAAAUGGCUACAAAACAAGACAACACUAAGAAUCCAUUUGUGUGCAAAAACGAAAUGCACCACCAGAAUUGGCAGUGCUUUUCUGGAUCCACUCCACCCUCACAAAAAAAUUUCAAACCAGAUAUGACCGGUGGAUUUCUAUCCAUAGAGCCUGCCUCCGUUAUGUACCUUUGGAGGCGUAUGAACAGCAUUAAAGCGCGUGGGCAUGCGUGUGUGUGUGAGCACGUGAUAAAUGGGUUGUUUAGUGAUGAAGAAAGUGGUGAAUAAAUUUGCAUAUGAAUGGUGCUUAUGUGUCGCUACUCAUAAGAGAAACAGAGGAGCAGAUGUACCAUUCAUACUUGUAACAAAUUUUUCAGAAUUAAGCCAUGGAAUCAGUUCAGUUGAAAGAAUCGGAAACAAGGUUUCAAGGGUGGAAAAUAGGGAGAUUGGAUGGAGGGGUUUGGUAAGAGGUUCAGAACAAUUUUUAAAAUUGGAUGCAGAUGAGAUUACUCACUUAUUUAAAAGAAAUCAAUGUGAAUAAGACUCAAGCAAAAAAAUUUGAAGGUAUGUAGC